rnacentral:rRNA from 1 species
AUACGUAGGUGGCGAGCGUUGUCCGGAUUUACUGGGUGUAAAGGGCGAGUAGGCGGGCUUGCAAGUCAGAUGUGAAAUACCGAGGCUCAACUUCGGGGCUGCAUUUGAAACUGCGAGUCUUGAGUGAUGGAGAGGCAGGCGGAAUUUCCCGUGUAGGGGGAAAAUGCGUGGAUAUUGGGAAGAACACCAGUGGCGAAGGCGGCCUGCUGGACAUUAACUGACGCUGAGGAGCGAAAGUGUGGGGAGCAAACAGGAUUAGAUACCCUGGUAGUCCACACCGUAAACGAUGGAUACUAGGUGUGCGGGGACUGACCCCCUGCGUGCCGCAGUUAACACAAUAAGUAUCCCACCUGGGGAGUACGAUCGCAAGGUUGAAACUCAAAGGAAUUGGCGGGG